CACAUCGUGGACACGCUCUCAGUUCCGAGCAAAUUCUUUGUAUUGCAUUGCGUUUUAUUUUGCCAACAGCGGUUUUUUGUGUAACAUCGGUGAUGCACAGCAUGUGUCUAAGGCAACUGUCUGUCGGGCUGUCCGAAAUGUGACACUUGCACUGAAACGACUACUAUUAUAUAUAUUAUUAUACACGUUUGUAGUGUUCCCAAGUCACAGACCCACCAGACUUCUCUCACAGAAGAGUUCCACAGAAUUGCAGGUAUCAGUCUAAGCAAUAAUUAGUUUAUGUCAUUAAGCUUUGAGACUUGAAGCACUGAUCAGUCAAUUUGAUAUAUUUUAGGGUUUCCACGUGUGAUUGGCUGCAUAGAUGGCACUCACAUUCCUAUCAUAGCUCCUUCAAUAAAUGAAGUGAAUAGGAGAUCUGUCCACAGCAUUAAUGUACAGAUCAUAUGUGAUGCAGCCCACAUGAUAAACAAUGUGGAAGCGAAGUGGCCUGGGUCUGUGCAUGACUCACGAAUGUUUCGUGAGUCUACACCGAGUGCCAGAUUUGUGAGUUCGAUGGUUACCUCCUCGGAGACAGAGGGUACCCCUGCCAGCGCUAUCUGCUGACCCCUGACCCUGAGCCUGAGCCUGAGCCUGGCCCACAGCAACACUACAACUUGGCUCACUGCAGGACACAAGCCAGAGUGGAGAUGACCAUCGGGAUACUCAACACCCGGUUCCAGUGCCCUUGUAGGCUGUGUGGUUCUCCACAACAUUGCCACUAUUAGAGGAGAACAAUGUCCUACUCUUCCCCCUAUGAUCCAGAUAAUAAUCCUGACCCCCCCGCUGAUGCACGAGAUGGAAGAGCUGUUAGAGACAUGAUAUGCUUCAAUCAUUUCUAACUGACCCAUCACCCCCCCAUUGUCAAAGAAUGACAAUAUGCCUCUCAUUUUAUGAGGUCUUCUUUAUUUCCUAGAAGGACAAAUGUUGUACAGUUGUUAAUCCUUUAUCCUUUGUUGUUGACACAAUUAAAAGUCAUCCACCUGUGGGCACGUCACCCAGCUUUAA